AUUAAACGCUGGCGGCAUGCCUUACACAUGCAAGUCGAACGGCAGCACGGGGGCAACCCUGGUGGCGAGUGGCGAACGGGUGAGUAAAGCAUCGGAACGUGCCCUGGAGUGGGGGAUAACGUAGCGAAAGUUACGCUAAUACCGCAUAUUCUGUGAGCAGGAAAGCAGGGGAUCGCAAGACCUUGCGCUCUGGGAGCGGCCGAUGUCGGAUUAGCUAGUUGGUGGGGUAAAGGCCUACCAAGGCGACGAUCCGUAGCGGGUCUGAGAGGAUGAUCCGCCACACUGGGACUGAGACACGGCCCAGACUCCUACGGGAGGCAGCAGUGGGGAAUUUUGGACAAUGGGCGAAAGCCUGAUCCAGCCAUGCCGCGUGAGUGAAGAAGGCCUUCGGGUUGUAAAGCUACUUCGGUGGGGAAGAAUUGCAUGGGCUAAUACCCUGUGUAGAUGACGGUACCUGGAG
rnacentral:rRNA from 1 species